AAGAAAAAGUCUGAACUAGACCAGGAUUCCCCUAGUAACUGCGAGUGAAGAGGGAUUAGCCCAGCACCGAAGCCGGCGGUCAUUUGACUGCUAGGCAAUGUGGUGUUUAGGUUGGUUCUUGGCAUUACUGCUCCACCCUAAGUCCAGCAAUGAGUACGGCUUACUGGAUUGGCCCAUUGAGGGUGAAAGGCCCGUGUGGGUGGAGACUCAAAUUAUCAUUUUUGCCCUGAAUUAACCUUGGAGUCGGGUUGUUUGUGAAUGCACCCCAAAGUGGGUGGUAAACUCCAUCUAAGGCUAAAUACUGGCACGAGUCCAAUAGCGAACAAGUACCGUGAGGGAAAGUUGAAAAUUCUCUGAAAGAGAUAGAGUAAACAGUUGGUGAACCCGCUAAGAGGUAAACGGGUGGAGUUGAAAAGUACUCUGAAGAGAUU
rnacentral:rRNA from 1 species